GAUGAACGCUGGCGGCGUGCUUAACACAUGCAAGUCGAACGGAAAGGCUCCUGCUUGCAGGGGUACUCGAGUGGCGAACGGGUGAGUAACACGUGGGUGAUCUGCCCUGCACUUCGGGAUAAGCCUGGGAAACUGGGUCUAAUACUGGAUAGGACCACAUUUUGGAUGGUGUGGUGGAAAGUUUUUCGGUGUGGGAUGAGCUCGCGGCCUAUCAGCUUGUUGGUGGGGUAAUGGCCUACCAAGGCGUCGACGGGUAGCCGGCCUGAGAGGGUGUACGGCCACAUUGGGACUGAGAUACGGCCCAGACUCCUACGGGAGGCAGCAGUGGGGAAUAUUGCACAAUGGGCGCAAGCCUGAUGCAGCGACGCCGCGUGGGGGAUGACGGCCUUCGGGUUGUAAACUCCUUUCGCUAGGGACGAAGCGCAAGUGACGGUACCUGGAGAAGAAGCACCGGCUAACUACGUG
rnacentral:rRNA from 1 species